CGAUGAACCGCUUUCGGGCGGGGAUUAGUGGCGAACGGGUGAGUAACACGUGGGCAAUCUGCCCUGCUCUCUGGGACAAGCCCUGGAAACGGGGUCUAAUACCGGAUAUGACUGUCCAUCGCAUGGUGGAUGGUGUAAAGCUCCGGCGGUGCAGGAUGAGCCCGCGGCCUAUCAGCUUGUUGGUGAGGUAGUGGCUCACCAAGGCGACGACGGGUAGCCGGCCUGAGAGGGCGACCGGCCACACUGGGACUGAGACACGGCCCAGACUCCUACGGGAGGCAGCAGUGGGGAAUAUUGCACAAUGGGCGAAAGCCUGAUGCAGCGACGCCGCGUGAGGGAUGACGGCCUUCGGGUUGUAAACCUCUUUCAGCAGGGAAGAAGCGAAAGUGACGGUACCUGCAGAAGAAGCGCCGGCUAACUACGUGCCAGCAGCCGCGGUAAUACGUAGGGCGCAAGCGUUGUCCGGAAUUAUUGGGCGUAAAGAGCUCGUAGGCGGCUUGUCACGUCGGUUGUGAAAGCCCGGGGCUUAACCCCGGGUCUGCAGUCGAUACGGGCAGGCUAGAGUUCGGUAGGGGAGAUCGGUAUUCCUGGUGUAGCGGUGAAAUGCGCAGAUAUCAGGAGGAACACCGGUGGCGAAGGCGGAUCUCUGGGCCGAUACUGACGCUGAGGAGCGAAAGCGUGGGGAGCGAACAGGAUUAGAUACCCUGGUAGUCCACGCCGUAAAACGGUGGGCACUAGGUGUGGGCAACAUUCCACGUUGUCCGUGCCGCAGCUAACGCAUUAAGU
rnacentral:rRNA from 1 species